rnacentral:rRNA from 1 species
ACGAUGAAGACCGUGCUUGCACGGUUGGAUUAGUGGCGAACGGGUGAGUAUCACGUGAGUAACCUUCCCUUGACUCUGGGAUAAGCCCGGGAAACUGGGUCUAAUACCGGAUACGACCAGUCCUCGCAUGGGGUGCUGGUGGAAAGAUUUAUCGGUCUUGGAUGGACUCGCGGCCUAUCAGCUUGUUGGUGAGGUAAUGGCUCACCAAGGCGAUGACGGGUAGCCGGCCUGAGAGGGUGACCGGCCACACUGGGACUGAGACACGGCCCAGACUCCUACGGGAGGCAGCAGUGGGGAAUAUUGCACAAUGGGCGAAAGCCUGAUGCAGCGACGCCGCGUGCGGGAUGACGGCCUUCGGGUUGUAAACCGCUUUCAGCAGGGAAGAAGCGAGAGUGACGGUACCUGCAGAAGAAGCGCCGGCUAACUACGUGCCAGCAGCCGCGGUAAUACGUAGGGCGCGAGCGUUAUCCGGAAUUAUUGGGCGUAAAGAGCUCGUAGGCGGUUUGUCACGUCUGCUGUGAAAGCCCGAGGCUCAACCUCGGGUGUGCAGUGGGUACGGGCAGACUAGAGUGCAGUAGGGGAGACUGGAAUUCCUGGUGUAGCGGUGAAAUGCGCAGAUAUCAGGAGGAACACCGAUGGCGAAGGCAGGUCUCUGGGCUGUUACUGACGCUGAGGAGCGAAAGCAUGGGGAGCGAACAGGAU